rnacentral:lncRNA from 13 species
GGAGUCUAAACGCACAGGCACACGCUAAGCUUAGCAUAGGAGGAAGACCGCCUGCAUGAGGAGGGAGGCACCUCCCACGGGGGGUUUCUGAGAAUGGGCCAGGCUUGGAAUCCUUGAAACAGCCGGAUCUAGAAGUUGCAAGUUGUUUUCUGCAUCCAAUAUUUUGUCAUCUCUGGCCCUUCAAUAAGAUCUUGUUUAAUAUUGAUAUGGUUUGGCUGUGUCCUCAGCCAAAUCUCAUCUUCAAUUCCCAGGUGUCGUGAGAGGGACCAGGUGGGAGGUAAUUGAAUCAUGGGGGCAAGUCUUUCUGGAGCUGUUCUUGUGAUAGUGAAUACGUCUCACGAGAUCUGACGGUUUUAAAAACGGGAGUUUUUCUGCACAAGCUCUCUUUGCCUGCUGCCAUUCCCGUAAUAUGUGACUUGCUCCUUCUUGCCUUCGGCCAUGAUUAUGUGGCUUCUGCAUCCACGUGGAACUUCCUCUACUCUGAUCUAAUGAGGGGCUUUGACUGCCAGCGGAAAAUGGUAAGAGCUUCGCUGUCCCCCUCCCCACUGGGUUCAUGACAUUCACAAUAUUUCUGCAUAACUUUCUGGGUAGUGGUUGCAGAUGGAGGGGCUGCUCCAUGCUGUUCACUUAUAGAGGGUCCCUUUGGAAACCUGUUAAGGUAACACAUAGUAUGAAGGAA